rnacentral:rRNA from 1 species
UACGUAGGGCGCAAGCGUUGUCCGGAAUUAUUGGGCGUAAAGAGCUCGUAGGCGGUUUGUCGCGUCUGCUGUGAAAACCUAAGGCUCAACCUUGGGCUUGCAGUGGGUACGGGCAGACUAGAGUGCGGUAGGGGUGACUGGAAUUCCUGGUGUAGCGGUGGAAUGCGCAGAUAUCAGGAGGAACACCGGUGGCGAAGGCGACACGCUGGGCCGUACCUGACGCUAAAGCGCGACAGCAUGGGGAGCAA